rnacentral:rRNA from 1 species
GUGGGGAAUCUUGCGCAAUGGGCGAAAGCCUGACGCAGCCAUGCCGCGUGAAUGAUGAAGGUCUUAGGAUUGUAAAAUUCUUUCACCGGGGACGAUAAUGACGGUACCCGGAGAAGAAGCUCCGGCUAACUUCGUGCCAGCAGCCGCGGUAAUACGAAGGGGGCUAGCGUUGCUCGGAAUUACUGGGCGUAAAGGGCGCGUAGGCGGACAGCUUAGUCAGAGGUGAAAGCCCAGGGCUCAACCUUGGAAUUGCCUUUGAUACUGGCUGUCUUGAGUUUGGGAGGGGUGAGUGGAACUCCGAGUGUAGAGGUGAAAUUCGUAGAUAUUCGGAAGAACACCAGUGGCGAAGGCGACUCACUGGCCCAAUACUGACGCUGAGGCGCGAAAGCGUGGGGAGCAAACAGGAUUAGAUACCCGUGUAGUCC